rnacentral:ncRNA from 2 species
GAUGCUCUAACGGGGUGCCCUUUGAUCCGCUUUGCCUGAUGGCAGGCGCAUUCGGGGGCUGAGAGGCGUCAGCGCCAACCCGAGGAACCUGAUCCGGCUCAUACCGGCGGAGGGAUUAGACGGCCUUGCUUC